UGAGGAAUAUUGGACAAUGGGCGCAAGCCUGAUCCAGCCAUGCCGCGUGCAGGAAGAAGCAUCUAUGGUGUGUAAACUGCUUUUGUACGGGAAGAAACACUCCUUCGUUAAGGAGCUUGACGGUACCGUAAGAAUAAGGAUCGGCUAACUCCGUGCCAGCAGCCGUGGUAAUACGGAGGAUCCAAGCGUUAUCCGGAAUCAUUGGGUUCAAAGGGUCCGUAGGCGGUUUAGUAAGUCAGUGGUGAAAGCCCAUCGCUCAACGAUGGAACGGCCAUUGAUACUGCUAGACUUGAAUUAUUAGGAAGUAACUAGAAUAUGUAGUGUAGCGGUGAAAUGCUUAGAUAUUACAUGGAAUACCAAUUGCGAAGGAAGGUUACUACUAAUGAAUUGACGCUGAUGGACGAAAGCGUGGGGAGCAAACA
rnacentral:rRNA from 1 species